rnacentral:rRNA from 1 species
UUACACAAUACUGAGUAAUUCUAUACNCCUAUAGAAGAUUUUAUGUUAAAACUAGUAACAAGAAGAAGAACUUCUCUUACAAUGCAAGUGUAAAUCAGACAGGACACCCCACCGACAAUUAACACCAAUGAACAAAAAGUAGUAACUUAACAAGAAAACCCUACUACACCAUAUGUUAACCUAACACCAGAGCAUUACAAGAAAGAUUUAAAGAAAGAGAAGGAACUCGGCAAAUAUUAACCUCGCCUGUUUACCAAAAACAUCGCCUCUUGAAAACAUAAGAGGUCCAGCCUGCCCAGUGACUCUGUUCAACGGCCGCGGUAUCCUAACCGUGCGAAGGUAGCGUAAUCACUUGUUCUUUAAAUGAGGACUAGUAUGAACGGCACCACGAAGGUUAUACUGUCUCCUCUUUCCAAUCAGUAAAACUAAUCUCCCCGUGAAGAAGCGAGGAUGAACAUAUAAGACGAGAAGACCCUAUGGAGCUUCAAACUACACAACACCUGCUUUAAUUCAAUUAACUU